rnacentral:rRNA from 1 species
GACGAACGCUGGCGGCGUGCUUAACACAUGCAAGUCGAACGGAAAGGCCCUGCUUUUGUGGGGUGCUCGAGUGGCGAACGGGUGAGUAACUCGUGAGUAACCUGCCCUUGACUUUGGGAUAACUUCAGGAAACUGGGGCUAAUACCGGAUAGGAGCUCCUGCUGCAUGGUGGGGGUUGGAAAGUUUCGGCGGUUGGGGAUGGACUCGCGGCUUAUCAGCUUGUUGGUGGGGUAGUGGCUUACCAAGGCUUUGACGGGUAGCCGGCCUGAGAGGGUGACCGGCCACAUUGGGACUGAGAUACGGCCCAGACUCCUACGGGAGGCAGCAGUGGGGAAUAUUGCACAAUGGGCGGAGGCCUGAUGCAGCAACGCCGCGUGCGGGAUGACGGCCUUCGGGUUGUAAACCGCUUUCGCCUGUGACGAAGCGUGAGUGACGGUAAUGGGUAAAGAAGCACCGGCUAACUACGUG